UAAUUAAUAAAUAAUAAUAGUUUUUGUUUACAUUCACAAAUCCAAUAUCUACUACCACCGUUUGCAAGAAUGUUAUCAACCCAAGCUGGGGUUAGUUUGUUUAUUUUUCAUUCGUUUUUGGAGUAAUGUUUUGACUCCUUGGCUCUGAAAUUAAGCCACAAAAAAAAAAAAAGCUACCAUUCCAUUAAGAAACCUACUCCACAAUUCCACGGCUCGCAAUACUCCCACAAACACUGGGGCUCUCCUCCUACUGUGCUCUUGCUGCAGUGCAGACUGCUGCCACCUGCCCUCAAAGAAGAAAUAUUACAGUUCACGUUUGGAAGACAUCUCACCACACUAUGGAUUUAAUCCUGGUUAAGUAUGUUGCCUGUGGCACCCUUAAACACGUGAGUGGCUUAUCAAUUUUCCCCUACUCACCUUCCAUCAUUCCAUUAAUUAUUUCUUCUAAUUUAUAUCCCUCUCUCUUUUUUUGCAGUUGCAAUUUACUGACGUCAUGUCUCACAUGCAUGCCUAACAUUGGACCUGGAUGUGGAUGAGGAGGAAGCAAAUAGAAAAACACAUGAGGUUUUUUCAGCACUUCAUAGUUUUUUGACAUCGAAAUAAUUUCUUCUAUGCCAUUGUCAGUGUAUCACCUCCACACUUCCCAGAGCUACAAAUCUAAACUCAUGGUCUAUCUUGGCCCUGGUAUUUUGAUUCCAUUCUGACCACCAGGGAUCUGAAUGCUGCUCAGCUCCAUGCAAGAUAACAUAUUUAUCAGCAUAUGACACGCACAUUUAACUCCUGAAAAGCUUUCUGUUAAAGACGGAAGAAAGAGUGAAGAUAAUGUUGAAGAUAAAGUUCUUAAAGGGUCCCAGUAGGUUGCAGUUUGCGCAGUCCUCCUUGAUAUAUUAAUCCCCCUUCAAAUCACAGUGUCCCUUUCACAGUCACGUUCUAAAGAUCAUGCACUUACCCUGAGGAGGAGCAAUGGUCCUGCCAGAAGCCGAUGCUGGAGGGUCUUGAAUGCAGCUUUCUGUUAAAGACGGAAGAAAGAGUGAAGAGUCAAGCUCUAUGAUUUUGACCCCUGCUGCUGAAUCCAGGGACAUCCUCUGCCAGAAGGACAUCUCUUAGCUCCGCCUCCCACUCUCGCAACUUGAUAGGCUUUCCUCGGUUUUGUCCUAGUCGAAGCCUCUGCAUCUUCUUUGUAACCGUUGCCCGACAAUCAUAGAACCUGCAAAUGUACAUAAACAUUACAAUUACAUUAAUAAAAAAACAAAUACUUAGAUUAAUGUUUUUUGAAAACCACAUUUCUUUUCACAUUGUGAUGGUUAUAUGUAUACUGUUCAGCAUGUGGCUGUGACAAAUAAAUUUUUUGGUUACGUUGAACUGUUA